AUGGUUUCAAGUAGAUAUACACAAACUCAUGCAGAUGACCAAAUAGUGCAUCAUCUCCGAGCGAAGGCGUCGUCUCACGUAAAAUGCUCUGGAGUACGCCUCCCUAAGUCGAAAGCGGUAUCAAAGGUGCGGCAGAUCGUCGCGCGGAAUCGGGCCCGCUCGUCAGCGAGGCAGGCAGAGUCCACGGGGUCAAAGCGAACUCUGUCUGUGUCUGUCUGUCUGACGACCAGCGAACGAUGCGGGGCCCACCACGGUGUCACCACCACCUACCCACCCACCCCCACAUCGGCCGCGCGCCGCCGCCUCCUCCUCUCCUCGCCGCUCGCUUCCUUCUCCUCCCCCCGCACCCGCCGCAUCUUCUCUCGCGCCAUGGAGUCCUCCUCCACCACCGCCGCCGCCGCGCUGCACGCAGGUGGCGUGGCGGAGCGGGAGUACGAGGAGGUGCUGGGCCGCCUCUCGUCGCUCAUCACGCAGAAGGUGCGCGCGGACACCGGCAACCGCGGCAACCAGUGGGACCUCAUGGGCCGCUACCUCCAGAUUCUGGAGCUGGAGGAGCCCAUCGCGCGGAUGAAGGUCAUCCAUGUCGCCGGCACCAAAGGAAAGGGUUCGACAUGCACAUUCACGGAGUCAAUCCUGCGAUCCUGUGGCUUCCGUACCGGGCUCUUCACCUCACCGCAUUUGAUGGAUGUCCGGGAGCGGUUCCGGCUAGAUGGGGUGGAUAUUUCUGAAGAGAAGUUUCUGAAGUACUUCUGGUGCUGCUGGAAUAAACUGAAGGAGAAGACUGAUGAUGAUAUUCCCAUGCCAGCCUAUUUCAGGUUCAUGGCCUUGCUCGCAUUCAAGAUAUUUUCUGCUGAGCAGGUAGAUGUAGCUCUUCUCGAGGUUGGUCUUGGAGGGAAGUUCGAUGCAACUAAUGUGGUUAAAUCUCCUGUAGUCUGUGGAAUAUCCUCUCUUGGAUAUGAUCAUAUGGAAAUUCUUGGAAAUACGCUUGGUGAAAUUGCUGGGGAGAAGGCUGGAAUUUUCAAGAAAGGAGUUCCAGCUUAUACUGCUCCACAGCCAGAAGAGGCAAUGGUUGUUCUCAAACGAAGAGCUUCAGAAUUGGGCAUUUCACUCCAAGUCGUUGAUCCUUUGAAGCCACAUCAGUUGAAAGAUCAACAUCUUGGACUGCAAGGUGAACACCAAUAUGAAAAUGCUGGCCUUGCAGUCGCACUCGCUAGUACAUGGCUUGAGAAGCAGGGACAUGUGGACAGAAUGCCACUCAACCACACUGAUCCCUUACCAGAUCAGUUCAUUAGAGGGCUGUCAAGUGCUUCUUUGCAAGGCCGAGCGCAAAUUGUUCCAGAUUCACAAGUAAAUUCAGAAGAGAAGGAUCGGGAUAGUUCUUUGGUAUUCUAUUUGGAUGGGGCACACAGCCCUGAAAGUAUGGAAAUAUGUGCGAGGUGGUUUUCCCAUGCUACCAAGGAGCAGUCUCAGACUUGCAGCAAAUCUCGGAAGAUUCUUCUAUUCAACUGCAUGUCUGUGAGAGAUCCUAUGAGAUUGCUUCCACAUCUCGUUGAUACUGCAACUCAAAAUGGGGUGCACUUUGAUCUGGCCCUAUUUGUGCCAAAUCAGUCACAACACAAUAAGCUUGGUUCUAAGGCAUCAGCACCUGCUGGGCCUGAGCAAAUUGAUUUGUCAUGGCAGCUAUCUCUCCAAGCAGUGUGGGAGAAAUUACUUAAUGAUGAUAAUAAAGGUUCAAACAGCACGGAUUCUGGCGAGACUAGCCUAGUGUUUGAAUCACUGCCACUAGCAAUUGAGUGGCUAAGGAAAAAUGCUGUAGAGGAUCCAUCCACUUCUUAUCAGGUCCUUGUUACUGGCUCCCUGCAUCUCAUCGGCGAUGUACUGAGGUUGCUCAAGAAGUGACAUUUUUUGGGAACAUUAUACAGUUGGAAGCUGACACUGAAGUAGCUAUACUGAUAGUGUGACCCCAAGCCGGGGCUCUUGAUUGGUUUCUAGAUCUUCCCAGGGCAAGCACAUGGUUUACAGAAAUGCUGCAAGCAGUUUGGAAGUGCUUCGCCUGCGAUGUGAAUCGGGCAGCAAGACGAGACGCCGAAAACUCAGACGGACGUCAGGGCGCAAGCAAAGCAUGAAUAAGCCAACAAGAUGGCAGUUGUUAUUAUCUAAAAAAGAAGUUGUUAUGGCAUUGAUCU
rnacentral:rRNA from 1 species